ACCCUCGGGUGACAGGGAGACAGGUGGUGCAUGGUUGUCGUCAGCUCGUGUCGUGAGAUGUUGGGUUAAGUCCCCGGCAACGAGCGCAACCCCUACGUUUAGUUGCUAACGCGUGAAGGCGAGCACUCUAGACGAACUGCCGUUGACAAAACGGAGGAAGGUGGGAUGACGUCAAAUCAUCAUGCCCCUUAUGUUCUGGGCUACACACGUGCUACAAUGGCCGGUACAGACGGACGCAAAGCUGCGAGGUGGAGCAAAUCCUAAAAAGCCGGUCUCAGUUCGGAUUGCAGGCUGCAAUUCGCCUGCAUGAAGUCGGAAUCGCUAGUAAUCGCAGGUCAGCAUACUCGCGGUUCCGAAUACGUUCCGGCCUU
rnacentral:rRNA from 1 species